rnacentral:lncRNA from 10 species
GAUGGGGCAAGCCAUGGGACUGGAAGGCAGCAGGCAGAUGUCAGGGUUGGGGAUUACUGGCUCAGAAGCAGGAAAUCUCAUGUAGAAGCCCAGAACUUUCAAGAGAUAAGAAGUAGAGAGAUUCUGGUUUAAAGAGAGAUGACAGAAGCCCUGAAUGUCCUCUCUUCUGCUCCCCCAGAUACCUUCAUGGACUACAGGGCUGUACAUACGACUGUUGAAGUUUAUAACUAAAAAUAAACCAAUAGGAAAGCUAGCCAUGCCAUAGUGGCUACAUGCAUGGGAUGUGAAGCCACACUUCCUGAGUUUGAAUCCCAGCUCUGCCUCAUCUUAAAAGUGUGAUCAUAGAGAGUGUGCCAACAUCAUUCUAAAUGAUUGGGAUACAUGAGUGGGAGUGAGUGAAGUGGACAAUGGCAGCAUUUUAGAAAAGGAUUA